GAUGAAGAACGCAGUGAAAUGCGAUAAGUAAUGUGAAUUGCAGAAUUCAGUGAAUCAUCAAAUCUUUGAACGCACAUUGCGCCCUCUGGUAUUCCGGGGGGCAUGCCUGUUCGAGCGUCAUUACAACCCUCAAGCUUUGCUUGGUAUUGGACAUUGCCAGUUUCUGGCAGGUCUUAAAAUCAGUGGCGGUGCCAUUUGGCUUCAAGCGUAGUAAUUCUUCUCGCUUUGGAGAUCCAAGUGGUUACUUGCCAAUAACCCCCAAUUUUUUCAGGUUGACCUCGGAUCAGGUAGGGAUACCCGCUGAACUUAAGCAUAUCAAUAAGCGGAGGA
rnacentral:misc_RNA from 1 species